UGGAGCUCAGACGUGGACUCUUCCUUCUGGUGCCCUUUUCCUUGAAUUCUGGGCCCUGGGUUAAAUGUUGGAGCGGCCCUGCUGACUUCCACGUUUCUUAAGGCCCCAGACUCGUCUUACACAUUAGGUGUGCCAGGCGCCCGGACCCUGGCCUGUGUCCGUGCCCAGAGCCCACCUAAUCCGGGGAAAGGGUCGUGUCUGCCUCUGUCGGAAGAGAGGGGACUCCAGCAGGCUCCUUGCCCUUGUUCCUUCCAGGGCGAGAGCUGCUCCCAUCAAGCAGCCCUGGAAUCUGAGUGUCCACACCAUCCUGACAUUCUGGUUCCAGUUCUUGGAGCUGAUGACACAUAAUCGUCUUUGAGCAAGCCAAACGUGUGUCCUCCGGUCUGUGUGUUGUCCGAGUGAAUAUUUCA